ACUGCUAUCGGGGUGGGACUAAGACAUGCGAGUCGAGCGUCUCUAGUUAUGGUGAGACGCGGCAGACGGCUCAGUAACACGUGGCUAACCUACCCUCAGGACGGGGACAAACCCGGGAAACUGGGGCUAAUACCCGAUAGGCGAGGGCGCCUGGAAUGGUUCUUCACCCAAAGGGCUUUGGAAGCAUGCUUUUCAAAGUCGCCUGGGGAUGGGGCCGCGUCCGAUCAGGUUGUUGGUGAGGUAACGGCUCACCAAGCCUAUAACCGGUACGGGCCGUGAGAGCGGUAGCCCGGAGAUGGGCACUGAGACAAGGGCCCAGGCCCUACGGGGCGCAGCAGUCGCGAAAACUCCGCAAUGCACGAAAGUGUGACGGGGCUACCCCGAGUGCCGUCCGCUGAGGAUGGCUUUUCCCCGGUGUAACUAGCCGGGGGAAUAAGGAGAGGGCAAGACUGGUGUCAGCCGCCGCGGUAAUACCAGCUCUCCGAGUGGUAGGGAUGAUUAUUGGGCUUAAAGCGUCCGUAGUCGGCUUAGCAAGUUUCCUGUUAAACUCAGCGACCUAAUCGUUGAAUCGCGGGAAAUACUACUAGGCUAGGAGGCGGGAGAGGUCGACGGUACUUCCGGGGUAGGGGUGAAAUCCUAUAAUCCCGGGAGGACCACCAGAGGCGAAGGCUGUCGACUAGAACGCGCUCGACGGUGAGGGACGAAAGCUGGGGGAGCGAACCGGAUUAGAUACCCGGGUAGUCCCAGCUGUAAACGAUGCGGGCUAGGUGUUGGGGUGGCUACGAGCCACUUCAGUGCCGCAGGGAAGCCAUUAAGCCCGCCGCCUGGGGAGUACGGCCGCAAGGCUGAAACUUAAAGGAAUUGGCGGGGGAGCACCACAAGGCGUGAAG
rnacentral:rRNA from 1 species